rnacentral:rRNA from 1 species
UGCCAGCAGCCGCGGUAAUACGGAGGAUGCGAGCGUUAUCCGGAUUUAUUGGGUUUAAAGGGUGCGUAGGCGGGCUUUUAAGUCAGCGGUAAAAAUUCGGGGCUCAACCCCGUCCGGCCGUUGAAACUGGGGGACUUGAGUGGGCGAGAAGAAGGCGGAAUGCGUGGUGUAGCGGUGAAAUGCAUAGAUAUCACGCAGAACCCCGAUUGCGAAGGCAGCGUGCCGUGCCGCCACUGACGCUGAGGCACGAAAGCGCGGGGAUCGAACAG